UACGUAGGGUGCAAGCGUUGUCCGGAAUUAUUGGGCGUAAGGAGCUCGUAGGCGGUUCGUCGCGUCGGCUGUGAAAUCCCGGAGCUCAACUCCGGGUCUGCAGUCGAUACGGGCGGACUUGAGUUCGGCAGGGGAGACUGGAAUUCCUGGUGUAGCGGUGAAAUGCGCAGAUAUCAGGAGGAACACCGGUGGCGAAGGCGGGUCUCUGGGCCGAUACUGACGCUGAGGAGCGAAAGCGUGGGGAGCGAACAGG
rnacentral:rRNA from 1 species